rnacentral:sRNA from 1 species
UACUAUCCCGGUUGUGGGCGGUCUGUCU